rnacentral:lncRNA from 1 species
ACAUGACCUCAUUCUGAUCUCUCAGGCUGUAAGAUCCACGAGAGUAGAGACAAUUGCUGGCCGUGCUUAUCACUGUGGACCCAAAGCCUGAAAUAGCAUCUGGUUCAUUAAACACAUGAUGAAUAUAUGUUGAAUAACUAAAUGAAUGAAAACACCGUUCUUCAAGCUCCCACUAACACCUUACCACUCUCUACCACGUCAACUUAUUUUAUUAUAACAAUUGCUCAUCAUUAAACCAUAUGGUCCUGGAAGAAAAAGACUGUUUUUAAGUCUAUAAAGUCAUAUUUAUAUGUGAAAUCAUAAUUACAUCCCCAUAACACAAUGUCCUGCAU